AGAGUUUGAUCAUGGCUCAGAACGAACGCUGGCGGCAUGCUUAACACAUGCAAGUCGAACGGACUUAUGGGGCUUGCUCCAUAAGUUAGUGGCAGACGGGUGAGUAACGCGUGGGAAUGUACCUUUUGGUUUGGAAUAACCACGGGAAACUGUGGCUAAUACCGGAUAAGCCCGUGAGGGGAAAGAUUUAUCGCCGAAAG
rnacentral:rRNA from 1 species